GGUAAAAUGACUGAUGAAUGGUGAUAAAUUGUAAAUUUAUUUAUGAAUAAUUUUCUUUUACUA
rnacentral:tRNA from 1 species